rnacentral:rRNA from 1 species
AUGUUGCGGGUGGCUUCAGCGACGAGGCUCUCAUGGCAGCUCUCAGCCACCUGCUUGACAACAAGGCUCAGGGUGUUGGGUUCAUUGCCAUGGCCGACGCUCACAGGGGCAAGUGGUAUGCCGUGUUCAUCGGUAAGGUCCGAGGGGUUUAUAGUUCAUAGGAAGAAGUCAGUGCACAAGUGGCAUUGUAUAGCAACAUCACCCAUAGAGGGUUCAAGACUAGGCAGGCAGCAGAAAAAGCUUACUCCGAGUGGGUGCAAAAGCACGACAGCAGUGUUGACAGUCGCAAGGUUGGAUAUGUCAAGGUGGAUCGUCAGUUUGGGCUGA